rnacentral:lncRNA from 1 species
CCCAGGUUCGGGGGACUCUGUCGGUACCGGCACGGGUCUGCGCCGCGCAGCGAGGACGCGGGGUGUCUCGACUCCGCCAUGAUGUAGACUCGAGUUUUCCUGGGAAAUCCUCAUGACAUACUACUUCCAGAAGGCCCAAGGGAGGAACUCUAUUCCCUGGAAGCUGGAAAUGGGCACUGCAUGACCAAACCAGAGCUCAUCUUUGAGUGGGAGCUUCGAUUUGGACCAUGGACCACAGCAGAAGCCUCAGUUGGAUGCGUGUCCGGUCAGUGAGUGGGUCUGGGGCAAGGGCUCAUCAUAUACAGAUUGC